rnacentral:rRNA from 1 species
CCAGACUCCUACGGGAGGCAGCAGUGGGGGAUAUUGCACAAUGGGGGGAACCCUGAUGCAGCGACGCCGCGUGGGUGAAGAAGUCAUUCGUGACGUAAAGCCCUAUCAGCAGGGAAGAAAAUGACGGUACCUGACUAAGAAGCCCCGGCUAACUACGUGCCAGCAGCCGCGGUAAUACGUAGGGGGCAAGCGUUAUCCGGAUUUACUGGGUGUAAAGGGAGCGUAGACGGCGGCGCAAGUCCGGAGUGAAAGCCCACGGCCCAACCGUGGGACUGCUCUGGAAACUGUCAGGCUGGAGUGCAGGAGAGGUAAGUGGAAUUCCUAGUGUAGCGGUGAAAUGCGUAGAUAUUAGGAGGAACACCAGUGGCGAAGGCGGCUUACUGGACUGUAACUGACGUUGAGGCUCGAAAGCGUGGGGAGCAAACAGGAUUAGAUACCCUCGUACCU